UCCUCUUUACAGAGGCAGUUCGUUCCGAGUCCCCGCCAUUAUGCGCUGGUAACAGAACGUGAGGGUUGCGCUCGUUGCGGGACUUAACCCAACAUUUCAUAACACGAGCUGACGACAGCCAUGCACCACCUGCGGAACACCCUCGAAGGCGACUCGCUUUCACGAGCUUGCAGUUCCAUGUCAAGCCUGGGUAAGGUUCUUCGCGUUGCGUCGAAUUAAACCACAUGCUCCGCUGCUUGUGCGGGCCCCCGUCAAUUCCUUUGAGUUUUAGCCUUGCGGCCGUACUCCCCAGGCGGGUCACUUAAUGCGUUAGCUCCGGCACGGAGGGAGUCGACACCCCCCACACCUAGUGACCAUCGUUUACGGCGUGGACUAC
rnacentral:misc_RNA from 1 species